rnacentral:rRNA from 1 species
GUAUAUUAAUGUUGUUGCAGUUAAAAAGCUCGUAGUCGAAUUUCUGGGACUUAAACUUAGUCAGUGGUUGCUUUAUGUAGCCGCUUGUACAUUGUUUCUAAGUCCCAUCUUAGUAGUGAUUGUACGUGGUAUUAAAUUAUCGUGUGCAGGAGCUGCUUCGUUUACUAUGAAGAAAUCAGCGCGUUCAAAGCAUACACUUAUUUGUAUUGAAUACUCCAGCAUGGAAUAAAAAGAUAGGACUUUUGGUGCUAUUUUAUUGGUUUGCACACCAAGUAAUGAUUAAUAGGGAUAGUUGGGGGUAUUCAUAUUUGAUUGUCAGAGGUGAAAUUCUUGGAUUUCUGAAAGAUGAACUUAUGCGAAAGCAUUUACCAAGGAUGUUUUCAUUGAUCAAGAACGAAAGUUAGGGGAUCGAAGAGGAUUAGAUACCCUCGUAGUCUUAACCAUAAACUAUGCCGACUCGGGAUCAGUGGUUGUUUGUUUAACGUCUCCAUUGGCACCGUAUGAGAAAUCAAAGUCUUUGGGUUCCGGGGGGAGUAUGGUCGCAAGGCUGAAACUUAAAGGAAUUGACGGAAGGGCACCACCAGGAGUGGAGCCUGCGGCUUAAUUUGACUCAACACGGGGAAACUUACCAGGUCCGGACAUAGUAAGGAUUGACAGAUUGACAGCUCUUUCUUGAUUCAAUGGGUGGUGGUGCAUGGCCGUUCUUAGUUGGUGGAGUGAUUUG